rnacentral:misc_RNA from 1 species
AGCUAUUUGAGCAGUCCUGCAAGAAGUACUUUGAUAAGCCAUUAUUUGGUUCUCGGAAGCUAAUUGCUAGGGAAACCAUAGUGAGUGAAGAUGGAAGAUCAUUUGAGAAGCUCCAUUUGGGAAACUAUGAAUGGAUGAUGUAUGGUGAAGCUUACAAAGCUGUGUGCAGCUUUGCAUCUGGUUUAGUGCAACUUGGACACAAGAAGGGAGAGCGAGUUGCAAUCUUUGCUGAUACACAGGCAGAGUGGCAGAUUGCUUUGCAGGGU